rnacentral:rRNA from 1 species
CAGUAGCCGCGGUAAUACGUAGGGUGCAAGCGUUAAUCGGAAUUACUGGGCGUAAAGCGUGCGUAGGCGGUUCGUUAAGUCUGCUGUGAAAUCCCCGGGCUCAACCUGGGAAUGGCAGUGGAUACUGGUAAGCUAGAGUGUGUCAGAGGAUGGUGGAAUUCCCGGUGUAGCGGUGAAAUGCGUAGAGAUCGGGAGGAACAUCAGUGGCGAAGGCGGCCAUCUGGGACAACACUGACGCUGAGGCACGAAAGCGUGGGGAGCAAACAGGAUUAGAUACCCCUGUAGUCCCUGUCUCUUAUAC